AGAGUCUUCAUCUAAAGCAUACAGAAAGGAGGGCUGUAACCAGCCACAGCAGUGGAGAUUUUCUGUUGUCUGACAGAUCAGGCACAACGUCUCCGUACUCUGCUGUCAUUGCAUUCAGCUUCACUUGGGCUUUUGUGAGAUCCUGCCGAGCCAUCUUCAGUGCCAGAGUGAGCUUCACCACAUCUUCACCCUUUUCACCUUUACACAACAAGCGUUAUGGUUGGAAAAGACCACGAAGAUCAUCUAGCCCAACUGCCCACCCAUGUCCCCUCCUAAUCCCUUCCCCAUGUGCUUAUGGAUAUUUUGUUCACUAAUUUAGCUUAUUUUAAGAGUCAGAUCAUAUCUGAUGAUAUUUUGGAGACGCUUAAUGCUGCACCGUGGGUGUGCAAUGGGCCUCUGGGCAACACAGAUCCCUACAGAGAUCUACUUACCACCUUGGACCUGGUGCUGUUUCAUGUCCAGCUGCUCGCUGUGCACCUCAUUCAGUUUUGCUACAAGCAGUUUGCGGGCGCCGUACUCCUGGAGGUAGCGUGUGUACUCCUCAGCUACACUCAUCUGCAGGUGCUCCACCUGCAGGAAUUGAUCAGCAUCGGUGGGAAGCCUUGGGGUGGCGUGGUGAGCCUAGAGCAGAACUAUGGGGCAGGUGUGGGGUAAGGGAUGUGAAGUAGGAAAAAGAAACUGGAGCAGGAGAGUGGCAAGAAAUAACACUGUAGGAAAGGAUGGUUAGGGAGAAACAUGCCAGAAAGGUUUGGACUCCAGAGAAGGUUGCUGAAGAGUGCUCUGUCUGUGUUUUGCCUUUCAGAGAGCGAAUUAGAUACAGUUCAUGCUGAGUUCCAAGGUUUCUCUAUUGUAAUUCCAUCCCCCAAAAAAGCAGCAGGCAGCUUGGAGAGCUCCUGUGAUUCUGGUGAGAACUCUGAAGGCAAACCGUGUGCCUCCCCUUCCCCCCAAAAGCAAACUGUAUGUAAAUUCUCAGUUGCCUCAGAGAUCGUUCAGUUUAUCCCCAUAUGAGGCUUGUAAAUACCAACAAGUGGAGGAAACAAAGGGAAGUCUAGAAAUGCUAAGGGAAGAAAUAUUUUUGAGUGUUUCAAUCUAUGUGCUGAAGCCCAAGUCUCCAAGGUUCAACAAAUGCUAUCUCCACGACUGUGGAGUCUACAGUCUGUGCAGAAGCUGGUUGUCUGGGACAGCAGCUACAAGUCAAGGCUUCUGGUAGCAGCACAGCCAGCCCUAAGGGAACACGGAUGUUCUUGAGAUCCAGCAUUUCUACAGUGCCAGCUGCUCACCACCAGCUGCAGUACUUCUCCUGGCACUAAAGGAUGAGCACCUGGGAGGAAGAGAUCAGAUGGAUCCAGUGCUAAUAUCUGCUGGGUGCACUCCUCAGACACGGUGGUGACCAUGGCCUUCAAGGGCUCUAGGGCACGGAUUGUCUCCUUCUGAUGAGCUAAAGAGAGCAGAGGUAAGUUCUUACAAUGAGCAACAAAACCUGAAUUUUACUUGAAUUUUGUCUCCUUGAGUAUUUCAGGCUUUGUGGCAAUGAACACUGAUGAUGCCAUCAUGCUUCACUAGGUUGUCAUCAUUUAAGCACAGGCAGCAUACAGAGCUGAAGAUAGCUGCUGAUUAGUGGUUUACCUGGCUUUGUAAAGGCAUGGUCUUCACAAACUUAGAUUGGCUUUCUUGUCUCCAAAUGCAAGGCCUUGUGCCACCUGCAUACAAACUUGUCUACACACUCUCCUCUCUUUUCAGGGACGUGUUGCCCUCUCUUCAUUUCUCUUUUUCAUCAGUACAACUAAUACAGAACUCAUUAUAUUGGCUUUACUGCCAUCUGUGCUUUUCACUCUCAACUAUUUCCCCUUUGAAUUGAUUAUUUUUCCUAAAGGCACUUAUCUGAGGGGAUUGGUGUGAGUGCUUGGGUGCCAGAUCCCAGUCACGUGGUAGAACUCCACCUGUCACCACCUCCUUGUUGUGGAAGCUUGCUUUUAUGACUAAAUGAAAUUCCACCACAAGAAGAUGUAAUUCAAAUGAGGCUGUGGCAAAGGUUUUCCUUGCUGAAUAAUGCAUACAUUCUCUCUCCUGAACAGGAUAGAAAUGCUGGCAGAUACUGAGUAAUGUCACUUGCAGACAUUUUCCUCUUUGCCAGAACUCUAAUAUAAGUAUUCAUGUACAAAUACCAUGCAGCAGACUCUGUAUUUUAAAACCUAAAAUGCAUGCAUAAAUCUAAAAACAGGAAUGACUUUUCUUAUUAUAGUUGGGUGUGAGUUUCCUUCCUGUGCUGUAACUGUACCAAAGGUUUUUCUGAGCUCUUUCACUAUGACGCUGGUACCAGGCCAGCUCCCCAGAAGAUGGCAAAAAUGAGAGCACUAGCAUAGCUCACUUGGUGUGAACAAAGAACACUAUGUUGUGUCAUUGGAGAGUUUCACAACUGGCUGCUGACCACUUGGCAAGGAGGAAUCAAUAAAACAUCUUGAGUAGAAAAUAUGCUUAAAGAAAGAUAAUAAUAAUUGAAAAGUAAGCUUCAGCACAAUACAGGCUAUGGAACUGACACUAGUAAUCCCCUGGGAGCUGAAGGAAUAUCUUCUGAAGAGUUCCAGAAGGAAACUGUUAGUAAAAUGUUCUGAUGUAACGAUUAAUAUUGAUUCGUUGAUCUUGCACUGUGCAAAGAUUUCUGCCUACAGUGAGGGACUAUAGGUAGGCAGUCAGGUAACAGCUACUGGGAUAAACGACACAUUUUAUUGGAGAAACUGUCCCGUUAGAAAAGUGUUGACAGCUGUAAGCUGCUCAGUGUGACAGGAGUUCCCAAUGAGAAGCUAUUUCUAGUGCACUGUUUACAAAGCACUGCUAUCACUGUGGCAUCUGAGAGCCAAGAGGGGUUUAAAGGCACACCACAAAUGGACAGGGAACAGCCAGUUCAGCUCUCUGCCCUGCCCUGCUUCAGGAGUAAUGCAAGCUUCAAGUUACCACUGCAAGUGCAUCCAAAUAUAUCAGUAUGAUAUACUCUGCUAUCAGCAUGGUGGUUUCAGAAAAGCUGGGGUACAGAUGUUGCCUGAACUGUGUGUGUGGUGAAGAUCAUAAGGAUAAAUAACUACAGAAAAACCUUCAAUCUAAAUAAUAAAGGUCUGAAAAAUAUAUAUAUAAAAACACCUGUUAUGUAUGAGGGAAGUAGACUCCCAUGUGGGAAGACUUCAUUAACAGACCAGGAAGGUAGUUUUAUCAUUUGACAUGUUUGUAUGUCCCUCAAAGAGAACUAUUCUAUGUGAAUAUUUAGAAUGUUCAUUCUAUAUAUAUAUAUCUUCAAUAUGUAAUUAGCUGUGUAAGACUACAUCUCCAUCAGUGUUUUCCCCUCAGAGGUCAAAGUCCAAGAGCUUACCCAGGGU